GGGUGCGAUCAUACCAGCGUUAAUGCACUGGAUCCCAUCAGAACUCCGCAGUUAGGCGCGCUUGGGCUAGAGUAGUACUGGGAUGGGUGACCUCCUCGGAAGUCCCAGUGUUGCACCCU
rnacentral:rRNA from 1 species